rnacentral:tRNA from 1 species
UCCGAUAUGGUCUAGUGGCUAGGAUUUGCCGCUCUCAUUCAGAGUCUGUUCACUUAACAGUGCCGGCAAGGCCCGGGUUCGAUUCCCGGUGUCGGAA